rnacentral:lncRNA from 10 species
GGAAAAUAGGGUCUGGAGGCAGGGAACAUAAGGCCAAUUCACACUUCAGCUAAGACAGGAAAUAUCCUCUCCAUAGGGCGUAGGCCAAGUAAAUGACUUUGUAACUUUACUUCAUCCUCUGCUUUUACAUAGGGUGUACACCAAGUAACUAAUGGGAUCCUCUUAGGGGGUAUUUAAACUCCCCCAGAUUUUGUAAUGGAGCUGUUGAGCCCCUAUGCUCAGGCCCACUCCCACACUGUGGAGUGUACCUUCAUUUUCAAUUAAUCACUUCAUUCCUUUCUUGCUUUAUGUGUUUUGUCCAAUUCUUUGUUCAAGAUGCCAAGGAACUGGACACCCUUCUACUAUUAACAUAUUUUAGUAAUCCAGCCAGGAGGAAGAGCAGGUAGACACAAAAAGCGGCUGAGCAUUGUGAGGAACACGUCGGCAGAGGAAGAUACAAGCCACUGGUCAUCGAGGGCACACUGGCAGAAGAGCACGCCAACAGGCACUAGCAGGUCGACAAGCCGGGCCAUAGACUGGUGGAAUGACGCGAAGUUUUCCAGGGGAAAACCAUCUCCCUUCUGGCUCCCCCAUCUGCUAAGAGUUACUUCUACUCAAUAAGACCUUGUACUCAUUCUCUAAGCCCGUGUGUGCUCCAAUUCUCCUGGUACACCAAGUUUAUCUUCACAGAAAGGUUUCUUCAGCACAUGUCCAAGAACCCAGAAAUGGUCUCAGGAGGGCUUAGCAUUUAACACAUGGGGCGUGACUUCAACUAAGCUUGGGAUGUUGCCAGUUCAAAAGUGCAGAAGCCAUACACACAGAGAAACUAUCUGGGAGAAGAAAUAUAGAAGAUAAAUCUGGAACACUGUGUGACACAAAAUAAGAAAACUGUGAAAGGAAAACGAGCCAUUGUCAAAAUGACACAUGAGCCAGCUUGAGUGGACUUUCACUAUCCAAAGGCUCGCUCAUGGACCAGUCAGCCUGCACUUCCUCUUCCCUGAGGCCCAUAAAAACCCAGGGCUCAGCCAAAGCUGGACAGAUGAUGGGACACCCAGCUGCAGAGAGGCACUACUGUCUCUGCUGAGAACUGAACACUCCUCAGGAUGACCAGCUGCGGAGAGGAGCUAAACACUUGUUGGGAUGAUCUGCCUGCAAAGAGGAGUUACCCUCGCUGCUUGGAGCCAAACACUCCACAGGACACCUUGGCUGUGGAAAGAGAGCUGCCCCCUGCAGGUCUCCUCUGAGCUGUUCUAUCGCUCAAUAAAGCUCCUCUUCCUCUUGCUCACUUUUCACUUGUCUGCAUACCUCGUUCUUCCUGGUCCCAGGACAAGAACUCAGACCUGUUGAACGGCAAGGCUAAAAGAGCUAUAAAAAACAGGGUGUGAAACAUGCCCAUUGUUCACCACAUUUCAGGAAAAGAGAGGGAGAGAAGAGCUGUGGCCCUGUGAGGAGCCCUGACCUGGGAGCUCCCUGAGCCUGGGCUGUGAAUCACUCUUUGGGGCCCUGAAGUUCCUGGCAUCUCCAAGCUUCUGGGUGCCACUGCAUUCUCCAAACUUCUGAGUGCCACUGCAUUCUCCAAGCUUCGGGGUGCCACUGCAUUCCCCAGUGCUAGCCGUGGUAGCUGCUUGCUGUGUACCUGAUCCUGCCACAGCCUCACAGAUAGCCAGUGUCCGGGAUGGCACCUGGAGCUGUCCAACCCGCUGCAGCAGCCAGCAUGUCUGACUGUGCACAGUGGCCAGACCCCACGCUCACUCACACACUCCUUGCUGCUCCACGCCUGACUUGCCCUUGAUAGGCAUAGGAUCCAGGCUCUGGACAGGCAUGAAAUCCAGGCUGGUAGCAUGAGCCAAGUGUAGCCUGUCAGGCCAAGUGGGCAAAAUGAGCCCAGUGGGCCUGAGCAAAAUUUGGGCAAAGGUACCACCAGCCACAGGACUCUGGCCAGAAAAGCAAUACUCCAAGUAUCCCGUAACAAUAGGUGUGUGUUUAAUAUUUUCAGAACCUUUCAAUUGUUUUCCAAAAUGUUUGGACUAUUUUACAUUCACAUCAGUGGUAUAAAGAGCUCAAGCUCCUACACAUCCUCAC